CACGUAGGGCGCAAGCGUUGUCCGGAAUUAUUGGGCGUAAAGAGCUCGUAGGCGGUCUGUUACGUCUGCUGUGAAAACCCUGGGCUUAACCCUGGGCCUGCAUCCGAUACUGGCGGGCUCGAGGCAGGCAGGGGAGAUCGGAAUUCCUGGUGUAGCGGUGAAAUGCGCAGAUAUCAGGAGGAACACCGGUGGCGAAGGCGGAUCUCUGGGCCUGUCCUGACGCUCAGGCGCGAAAGCUAGGGGAGCAAACAGG
rnacentral:rRNA from 1 species